CGACCCUGCUUCGGUACCCGAGGGAGGAGGAAAGCAGGGCGGAAGGACAUGUACAGUGUGUUUUGCUGAACAGUUUGAGAUGUUCAUCCUCACAUGGACCAUCUGUCACCUGCUGCAGGGCAAAACCUACUGAGAACAACAGGCGGCUAUUCCGUGAAAGGCUGUCUCCAUGUGGUGUCAGUGGCUCCUGGAAACUGCAGAAUUAGUUGGUCCUCAAAUAAUACGAUCUCACAGAAGGAGAGAAAACCAUCUGUUCUU